GACAGAGGGUGCAAACGUUGUUCGGAAUUACUGGGCGUAAAGCGUGUGUAGGCGGCUUUGCAAGUCGGAUGUGAAAGCCCCGGGCUCAACCCGGGGAGUGCACUCGAUACUGCAGAGCUUGAGUGUGGGAGAGGUUGGUGGAAUUCUCGGUGUAGAGGUGAAAUUCGUAGAUAUUGGGAAGAACACCGAUGGCGAAGGCAGCCAUCUGGACCGACACUGACGCUGAGGCGCGAAAGCGUGGGGAGCAAACAGG
rnacentral:rRNA from 1 species